GCCACAGCCACAUUCCAUAAACAGCACUGUUCAAAUAGAUAGCGCAGAUUUGACGUGUUGGCAUAGUGCCGAUGUUUUCCUACUAGUUAUUAACAUAUGUAUUAUUGAAAUGAGGAAUUAAGUGGUUGUGUGGUUUGGCAGUCUUAUUUCCGCUGGGACAGCUGGGAUGGAGAUGACGAUACGUGAGCCUGGACUCCCCUCCUAAAGACCAUACUCACUGUGAGUUAUAGCAGCAUGCUAGCGCGUCCAAGCCCUCCACCUUCCACUCCUGACAAUCACCAGCUCAGUGUGCUUUGGAGCACACCAACAGCGACACGUUCAGGUUCUGCCCCGCCCUCCCCCGGUCCCGUCCCCAGCUGCUGUGUCUGUCCUCCGGGGGCACGAUGACCUCUGACCUGCCUGAGGCUUUGCUACCGUCCAGCUUUCUGACCUGGGAUGCAGUUUCUGACUUCAGAGAAAAAGGAGGAAACACUAGAUCUUAAGUUGACUCCCUGGACACUGGUCACUCCUGAAGCUUUAGGCAACUUUGACAUAAUGACAUGGGUCACAGACUCCAUAAAUAAGCUGUAAACCACAGUUCUUCAAGUGAUGCAACUUUUUAGUACACUCUGUAAGCAGUGUUUGUAUCACUACAUAGCUUUCAAACAUGUUUCAAAUAGUAUUACAAUAUAUAUAUGGUCAAUUAUUUAAUGUAUACAGUCCAAUGCCAACAUCUGAAUGCAGCUGUGCUGAAUGUGUGUACCUGAUGUGAGCAUGCUAAUCUAAAUUACAGAAAAGGCCAAUAACACCUUGCAAAUUAAUUAUUAGCUGGUCACAUAGGUCAAUAUUUGUUUAUUCUCAAAAAGGGAUUCGCUUUUAUGUGAGGAAAUUAUAAACAGCUAUUACUCAGCUCAAUGAGAGUUUCAAACCAGCGUCUCAGCUGUGGAGAUGGAUGUUUGGUUACACAGGUCUGGAGAAUGAUUUCUCAUGGGAAGCCAUCUUAGUAAACACUUAGUGGGGUCUCAGUGGACCUGUUGUUUACCUUUAACACUAAACCAGAGGAACUCAAUGUCAGGUCCUCCUGUGUGUUUGUGAUUCAACACAUUAGUAUAGUGAUGAGAGAAAGAUGUGUUGCUCCCACCAGGACCUAGGUAACCUCUGUAUAUAGAACAGGAUUGCAAAACGCUGGUUACUUUCUCAAAAUAUUUGUAAUAUGUACUCUUAAUAUAAACAGAUACCAUACAUGGAGCAGGACCGGGGGAAUUCAGAGACAUUUAUUAUAGUUCCUUCAUGUGCCUUAAUGUGACCUUGAGGAUGAAUACAGUAUUCUGUGGACAGUGUACCAGAGCUGUUAUGUUCCCAAUGUUUUUGUAGUGGCAAUGCCUUACAGAAAUGUAAACCAUUGAAAUUGGAAGGUCAUCAUAUCCUGACAAGACCACAAUACAUUCCUAAACCUACUUCCUAACCCCAAGUACAAAGCCGACUCGUAGCAUUUGCGCUAACCCUCUCUGAUGAAAUAUCAUUAUGCAUUUGUCCUAUAGCUGUUCACUGUGUACCAUACAUGUAGUGAGGUCUCUAUACAUCCACACACGUUCUGGUCUUCAUUAGACUACAACUGAACAUCCUCCUGGCUUGACAGAGAAGGUCUUUCAUCUGCACCUCCCUGCCUGGUCCUGCUCAACCAGAGUCUAACCAGAAACACCCCACAGCCCUGGGCAAGGAGUCCUAAGGUGGUUCUGAUCUAACCAGGUGGUUCUGAUCUAAAAAGGAAUACUGCGCUACUUUGAUUGCAAUGAAACUGACCUUGAACUCACAUGGGAGUAGACGUGUGAGCCUUGAAAUAACUAAGAUGAACAAUCCUAACUGGUAACCUGACGAGUGACAAUGAAUGGGAAAUGACUGUUUAUCAAGAGUUUCUCUAUGUUUGCCUAAUGAAAUGUGAGUACUGAAUUAGGAAGCCCAAACACCAGCACUGCAGGGCAGAAAAACAUGUGAAAUCCAUAAAUAUAGCUGAUAUUGUUUGGCCGUUACAACAUGGCUAGUGCAGGUGAGAAGCGGAGACAGACAGAUAUAGCGUGCAAGGUUUGAUAAAUGAUGGAUCAUGGCUCAAUGCAAUGCUAAUCUGCAGAACGAAGCUGAGAGGUCAAAGGAAAUGUACAGGAG
ensembl:lncRNA